rfam:Arabis alpina cultivar Pajares Aa.chr2_contig_1122, whole genome shotgun sequence.
AACCCGUGGUGAGGACAAUCUCUUUGAUAUCCCUUGAAUCGUUCCCAUGAAGCCUUGAAUGCUUUAGUUGGCCCUUGAGAGAAUGUAAAGAUCUUAGCUCACAGGUC